rnacentral:rRNA from 1 species
AGCGAACGCUGGCGGCAGGCCUAACACAUGCAAGUCGAACGGACCCUUCGGGGUUAGUGGCGGACGGGUGAGUAACACGUGGGAACGUGCCUUUAGGUUCGGAAUAUCUCCUGGAAACGGGUGGUAAUGCCGAAUGUGCCCUUCGGGGGAAAGAUUUAUCGCCUUUAGAGCGGCCCGCGUCUGAUUAGCUAGUUGGUGAGGUAAUGGCUCACCAAGGCGACGAUCAGUAGCUGGUCUGAGAGGAUGACCAGCCACAUUGGGACUGAGACACGGCCCAAACUCCUACGGGAGGCAGCAGUGGGGAAUCUUGCGCAAUGGGCGAAAGCCUGACGCAGCCAUGCCGCGUGGAUGAUGAAGGUCUUAGGAUUGUAAAAUCCCUUCACCGGUGAAGAUAAUGACUGUAGCCGGAGAAGAAGCCCCGGCUAACUUCGUGCCAGCCGCCGCGGUAAAAC